AAUAAUGACUAAGUGAGCUAAAACCCGUCUAAGUUCUUGCCAUCAUGCUGCAUGUUAGAUCCCAACUGGUAUCAAGGUGGGGUUCGGUCAGGUUGUGGUCCAAAUCCGACAAGGAAUCUGACUACCCACGCUUGAACCAGGCUCAAUGUCAAGCAGCUGGGUCAAGAUAACUUGGGUCGAGAACUAGAGGUUUUAUUGGAAAAAAUAUGGAUCAAGUCUGGGUUGCUCACACCGGGAGCCCUGCCAAAAGCAUAGGUUAGGCACAAGCUGGAUUGGAUUGGUUAAGCGAUCUAUUGUAAAAUUUUGGUAGGGUCAGGUCAGCCAAGCUCUUAACAUGAAUCCGAUCUGACUUGAAACUUAAUUCACAUUUUUUAAGCCCAAUUGUCAUUUAGAGCUAGCUUUAAUGAAGUUAGCCAGGCACAAAAUUGCACACAAAAUGUCAAAAAAUUAUAGAGGCUUGCGUCUCCAUACUACUCAAAAGAUGCGAUCAGGAUUGGGUACAUUAAAUAUUAAUUAGUAGCGACAUUGAGAUGUUUGCUAAAGUUAGGGUUUAGUUGAGUAAUUUAGCAAGAUUAGGCUAGAUUUUUCUGAUGGUUUCGUGAAUUGAGCCGUUCAUUUGGGCAUGACCUAUAUCAACCCAACACCUCUUAGCCUGGCUAUAAUGUAAGGAAAAAAAAGAGAGGACAUCCAUAACUUUUUCAUUCUCCCAGACAAAUAGACCAAUACAUUGGGACUUAGCACGGAAUUUGGAUAAUGGCAAACAUUACAUGCAUAUUUAUAUUGAAAAACGAUUAACAGCUACAAAAUUAUCCAUUUGAGGAUUAGACGCUCGCUUCAUUGCUAAAUAUUGCUCUCUAAUUCAGUUGGUAUCCUAAUUCUAGGUUGUGAAUUUGAUUAUCCUCAAGCUAUGCUAUCCUAAUUCUUGUCCGUUCUAGUCCACUUCAGAUGCUUAGUUUGGCCCACAAUAAAGCUUCUUUCUUUCUUUGUUUUUGUUUUUUUUUCUCCUACGAGGGUGCGGGGUGGUGAUCAAUUCGUUAGUAAUUUGACAUCUUUGUAGUCAACAAUACUUAGCAUCUGGGUACGUGCAAUGCACACUAGAAAAAUACAAGUUUUAGAUUUUAUUAUAUAACAUAAAAAACAAUAUAAAAAACAUGUUUGUAGACUUUUUUUUAAAUUAUUAUAUAAAAUACUGUCCAAAUAUUAUUCAUUUUGUGUAUGUAUUUAGCAAAAUUUUAAAUCUC
rnacentral:lncRNA from 1 species